rnacentral:lncRNA from 12 species
GUCACUGACCUUUCAAAGGCUGAAAAAAUUAAUGAAUAAAGAUGGGCCUGUUUCUUCCAGAAUGAUAGGACUUCAAUUUAAACCAGUUACAUCAAUAGUAGCAGGAGAAACAUGGAGCCAGCAGGACCAGCAGCCUGAGCACCAUGAUCAAGAGCAAGAUCACAGGAGAAGGAGACAGACUCGGAUUUGAAUCCCAGCCGUGCCCUUUCAAUUAACAAAGCAAUUAACCCCUUUCUUCCUCAUCUGUGAAAUAGUCAUAACGAUGGUUUCGUAGAUUGUUUUGAGAAUGAUAAAAGGCCAUGUUUUCAAAAAGCAUGGUACAUAAUAAACAUUUACGGAUGUUAACA